ensembl:snoRNA SNORD30 Small nucleolar RNA SNORD30
AUAUAUGAUGACUUUCAUAGAAUCUCGUUCGGCUGAUGAUUGCUGUUGAGACUUGGAAAUCUGAAUUAU